AUUGAACGCUGGCGGCAGGCCUAACACAUGCAAGUCGAGCGGAUGAAGGGAGCUUGCUCCUGGAAUCAGCGGCGGACGGGUGAGUAAUGCCUAGGAAUCUGCCUGGUAGUGGGGGAUAACGUCCGGAAACGGGCGCUAAUACCGCAUACGUCCUGAGGGAGAAAGUGGGGGAUCUUCGGACCUCACGCUAUCAGAUGAGCCUAGGUCGGAUUAGCUAGUUGGUGGGGUAAAGGCCUACCAAGGCGACGAUCCGUAACUGGUCUGAGAGGAUGAUCAGUCACACUAGAACUGAGACACGGUCCAGACUCCUACGGGAGGCGGCAGUGGGGAAUAUUGGACAAUGGGCGAAAGCCUAAUCCAGCCAUGCCGCGUGUGUGAAGAAGGUCUUCGGAUUGUAAGGCACUUUAAGUUGGGAGGAAGGGCAGUAAGUUAAUACCUUGCUGUUUUGACGUUACCAACAGAAUAAGCACCGGCUAACUUCGUG
rnacentral:rRNA from 1 species